ACCGCAGUAGCCCAGUUGGUAGUGGCGUCAGCAGUACAGUUGCCGAAAGUCGUAGGUUGAAAUCCUGCCUGCGGUG